UUUUGUUCUCCACCUGGUAUGUUAUAUUUAAACUAUUAUUACUUUUCAUAAUUGUAAUAUGUAUUUUUAGAACAAAAAUAAUAAUAAGAAAAAUGAUUAAAAAAACACUUAUAAAUCACUAAAAAUAGAUUUGAAGUUGUUGUCUAUCAAUCCCCAUUAUGCCAUAUAGGAAUUGACAUUUCGGUUGGAGUACACACUAAUGUUGUAUUU
rnacentral:lncRNA from 1 species